GACGAACGCUGGCGGCGUGCUUAACACAUGCAAGUCGAACGGAAAGGCCCUGCUUUUGUGGGGUGCUCGCGUGGCGAACGGGUGAGUAACACGUGAGUAACCUGCCCUUGACUUUGGGAUAACUUCAGGAAACUGGGGCUAAUACCGGAUAGGAGCUCCUGCUGCAUGGUGGGGGUUGGAACGUUUGGGCGGUUGGGGAUGGACUCGCGGCUUACCAGCUUGUUGGUGGGGUAGUGGCUUACCCAGGCUUUGACGGGUAGCCGGCCUGAGAGGGGGAACGGCGACAUUGGGACUGAGAUACGGCCCAGACUCGUACGGGAGGCAGCAGUGGGGAAUAUUGCACAAUGGGCGGAAGCCUGAUGCAGCAACGCCGCGUGCGGGAUGACGGCCUUCGGGUUGUAAACCGCUUUCGCCUGUGACGAAGCGUGAGUGACGGUAAUGGGUAAAGAAGCACCGGCUAACUACGUG
rnacentral:rRNA from 1 species